UUGAACGCUGGCGGCAGGCCUAACACAUGCAAGUCGAGCGGUAGCACAGAGAGCUUGCUCUCGGGUGACGAGCGGCGGACGGGUGAGUAAUGUCUGGGAAACUGCCUGAUGGAGGGGGAUAACUACUGGAAACGGUAGCUAAUACCGCAUAAUGUCGCAAGACCAAAGUGGGGGACCUUCGGGCCUCAUGCCAUCAGAUGUGCCCAGAUGGGAUUAGCUAGUAGGUGGGGUAACGGCUCACCUAGGCGACGAUCCCUAGCUGGUCUGAGAGGAUGACCAGCCACACUGGAACUGAGACACGGUCCAGACUCCUACGGGAGGCAGCAGUGGGGAAUAUUGCACAAUGGGCGCAAGCCUGAUGCAGCCAUGCCGCGUGUGUGAAGAAGGCCUUCGGGUUGUAAAGCACUUUCAGCGGGGAGGAAGGCGUUAAGGUUAAUAACCUUGGCGAUUGACGUUACCCGCAGAAGAAGCACCGGCUAACUCCGUGCCAGCAGCCGCGGUAAUACGGAGGGUGCAAGCGUUAAUCGGAAUUACUGGGCGUAAAGCGCACGCAGGCGGUCUGUCAAGUCGGAUGUGAAAUCCCCGGGCUCAACCUGGGAACUGCAUUCGAAACUGGCAGGCUAGAGUCUUGUAGAGGGGGGUAGAAUUCCAGGUGUAGCGGUGAAAUGCGUAGAGAUCUGGAGGAAUACCGGUGGCGAAGGCGGCCCCCUGGACAAAGACUGACGCUCAGGUGCGAAAGCGUGGGGAGCAAACAGGAUUAGAUACCCUGGUAGUCCACGCCGUAAACGAUGUCGAUUUGGAGGUUGUGCCCUUGAGGCGUGGCUUCCGGAGCUAACGCGUUAAAUCGACCGCCUGGGGAGUACGGCCGCAAGGUUAAAACUCAAAUGAAUUGACGGGGGCCCGCACAAGCGGUGGAGCAUGUGGUUUAAUUCGAUGCAACGCGAAGAACCUUACCUGGUCUUGACAUCCACAGAACUUUCCAGAGAUGGAUUGGUGCCUUCGGGAACUGUGAGACAGGUGCUGCAUGGCUGUCGUCAGCUCGUGUUGUGAAAUGUUGGGUUAAGUCCCGCAACGAGCGCAACCCUUAUCCUUUGUUGCCAGCGGUUCGGCCGGGAACUCAAAAGAGACUGCCAGUGAUAAACUGGAGGAAGGUGGGGAUGACGUCAAGUCAUCAUGGCCCUUACGACCAGGGCUACACACGUGCUACAAUGGCAUAUACAAAGAGAAGCGACCUCGCGAGAGCAAGCGGACCUCAUAAAGUAUGUCGUAGUCCGGAUUGGAGUCUGCAACUCGACUCCAUGAAGUCGGAAUCGCUAGUAAUCGUAGAUCAGAAUGCUACGGUGAAUACGUUCCCGGGCCUUGUACACACCGCCCGUCACACCAUGGGAGUGGGUUGCAAAAGAAGUAGGUAGCUUAACCUUCGGGAGGGCGCUUACCACUUUGUGAUUCAUGACUGGGGUG
rnacentral:rRNA from 1 species